rnacentral:sRNA from 1 species
AUAAGCAAAAUGGCCUCAGACUGAAGAGGAUGGUCAUAAAGUCUGUGUGGAACAGACGUCAGAGUGGAAUUUUCAGACUUAAUGGAGAGGAUCUAAGUAAGCUCUGGAUUUUGAAAUGAGUGAAUCUAUGGAGCUGUGAUCUCCUACAAAUCAAAUGGGGAAUGUCUGUGGAUGUGUAAGAGCUGAGAAAGAAGAACACUAUGUAGAUCCUGCCAAAACUCCUUUGAACCCUGAAAAAUACUCUCCUGGAAGAAAAUAUUUCAGAAGAAAACCGAUCAAGAAAACUGGAGGUGACAAAGAGUCAGUUGGGGCAAACAAUGAAAAUGAAGGCAAGAAGAAGAGCAGCAGUCAGCCUUCAAAAGAACAGCCAGCUCCUUUAUCCAGGGGACUGGUACAGCAGGAAUCUGUUACCCUAAACUCUGCACUGGGAGAUGGUAUUCAGCAAAAGAAUACAGAAGUUGUAGCUGACAGCGUUAAACAGAAACUUCUGCCGAGUGCUGUAAGCAGUUGGUCUGACCAUGUGAACACUUCUCCUGCUAAAGACAGUGAAACAGAAGUAAAAGUUAGUGAACUGGAUGAAAGGAUUUCAGAAAAAGACAGCACUCCAUAUUGCGCAAAGAGGAAGAAACAUUUAGAUGAUGUCAACACAAGCGAAAUAACAUUCCAGGAAAAAACUGAUGUUUUUUCUUUUCGAAAGGCAGCCAGCUUAAGCUCUAUUCCCUCGGGUAUAGAAAGAUCACUCGAAAAAAGUGGGUUUGCUGAAGACCCACCAAAAAGUUAUAGCAGUAUUCAAGAAAAGCAAAACACUGAGAGAUUUUGUCCUCAUGCAACACAGCAUUUUCAGUUUAAAAAAAAGAGAUGCCAUUCCCUUUAUACUAGUAUGUCCUCUGUUUCUAAGGACACAGAUGGAAAUGAGAUAUCUGAUAUCCAUGUUACUGGAGAGUCAGAGGAUAUGUCUGCAAAAGAGAGAUUGCUACUCUGGACGCAGCAGGCAACAGAGGGUUAUGCUGGAAUUCGGUGUGAAAAUUUCACUACCUGCUGGAGAGAUGGAAAAUUAUUUAAUGCCAUCAUUCAUAAAUACAGGCCGGACCUGAUAGAUAUGAAUACUGUUGCUGUUCAAAGCAACCUUGCAAAUUUAGAGCAUGCUUUCUACGUAGCAGAAAAAAUUGGUGUUAUAAGACUUCUGGACCCUGAAGAUGUCGAUGUCUCCUCACCUGAUGAAAAAUCAGUAAUAACUUAUGUGUCAUCUCUCUAUGAUGCAUUUCCUAAAGUCCCUGAAGGUGGGGAAGGCAUUGGUGCAAAUGAUGUUGAAGUCAAAUGGAUUGAAUACCAGAAUAUGGUGAACUACCUCAUCCAAUGGAUUAGACACCAUGUGACCACAAUGUCUGAGAGAACAUUUCCUAAUAAUCCUGUAGAACUGAAGGCACUUUAUAAUCAGUAUUUACAGUUUAAAGAAACAGAAAUUCCACCAAAGGAGACAGAAAAAUCAAAAAUUAAACGUCUAUAUAAAUUAUUAGAGAUUUGGAUAGAAUUUGGACGCAUCAAGCUCCUUCAAGGUUAUCAUCCAAAUGACAUAGAAAAAGAGUGGGGGAAACUCAUUAUUGCCAUGCUAGAGAGAGAGAAGGCCCUUCGUCCAGAAGUAGAAAGGUUAGAAAUGUUGCAACAGAUUGCCAACCGAGUUCAGAGGGACAGUGUCAUCUGUGAAGACAAACUGAUUCUUGCUCGAAAUGCUCUUCAGUCUGAUUCUAAAAGAUUAGAAUCAGGAGUGCAGUUUCAGAAUGAAGCAGAAAUUGCUGGGUAUAUACUUGAAUGUGAGAACCUUUUACGCCAGCAUGUAAUUGAUGUACAGAUUCUUAUUGAUGGAAAAUACUACCAGGCAGAUCAAUUGGUACAGAGGGUUGCAAAACUGCGUGACGAAAUUAUGGCCUUAAGGAACGAAUGUUCUUCUGUGUACAGCAAAGGACGCAUACUGACAACAGAACAGACAAAGCUCAUGAUAUCAGGAAUCACUCAAAGUUUAAACUCAGGAUUUGCACAGACCUUACACCCUAGUCUGACCUCAGGGCUGACCCAGAGUUUAACACCUUCCCUAACCUCUUCUAGUAUGACUUCUGGCCUGUCAUCAGGGAUGACUUCCCGCCUGACUCCAUCUGUCACUCCAGCUUAUACACCUGGUUUCCCAUCAGGAUUAGUUCCAAAUUUCAGUUCAGGAGUAGAGCCAAAUUCAUUGCAAACUCUGAAGUUGAUGCAGAUCCGAAAACCCCUUCUAAAGUCUUCUUUGCUGGAUCAAAAUUUAACAGAAGAGGAAAUCAAUAUGAAAUUUGUUCAGGAUCUUUUGAAUUGGGUUGAUGAGAUGCAGGUACAACUGGACCGCACUGAGUGGGGCUCAGAUUUGCCAAGUGUUGAAAGCCAUUUAGAAAAUCAUAAAAAUGUUCAUAGAGCUAUUGAAGAAUUUGAAUCUAGCCUCAAAGAAGCUAAAAUCAGUGAGAUUCAAAUGACAGCACCUCUUAAACUGACUUAUGCAGAAAAGUUGCACAGAUUAGAGAGUCAGUAUGCAAAACUCUUGAAUACAUCCAGGAAUCAAGAACGGCACCUUGAUACACUCCAUAAUUUUGUAAGUCGUGCGACUAAUGAACUUAUUUGGUUGAAUGAAAAAGAAGAGGAGGAAGUUGCUUAUGACUGGAGUGAGAGAAACACCAACAUAGCCAGGAAAAAAGAUUAUCAUGCUGAAUUAAUGAGAGAACUUGAUCAAAAGGAAGAAAAUAUUAAAUCAGUUCAGGAGAUAGCAGAGCAGCUACUUCUAGAAAAUCAUCCAGCCCGGUUAACUAUUGAGGUAAAGCUGGAAAGUGUAAUGGUGUUGGUUGAAUAUUGAUAUGAUUAUUUCCCUUCAGAUUCUUUUAUUGCUGAGAAGUUGAAAAUUACAAGCCAUCUAACUUUUGUUAAAACCUGGCUCAAAAACGUUUCUGACAAAUUGUACUGAUUGCCUUCAGUUCUCUGGCUCUAAGUAUGUCACCCAUCACUUAGAAUAAAAGUACCCUUGUCAGCCUCUGUGGCUGAGAAGAUGUAUUGCUGUAAAUAUGAAGUACCUUCUCUGUGUAAGCAUUGCCAUAUUAUUUAUUUCUGAUUGUGUAACAUUGCACAAGUGACAUAGUAUUG